rnacentral:rRNA from 1 species
UGAGGAACAUGACCUUCGGCGGGGGAUAGCCGGCCCAACGGCCGGGUAAUACCGCGUACGACCACUUUGGGACAUCCCUCGGUGGUGAAAGCAGCAAUGCGCCGAUGGAGUGCCUCGCGGCCUAUCAGCUAGUUGGUGAGGUAACGGCUCACCAAGGCGACGACGGGUANCUGGUCUGAGAGGAUGGCCAGCCACAGUUGGGACUGAGGCACGGCCCAGACUCCGUACGGGAGCAG